GGCAAGAUGGCCGAGCGGUCUAAGGCGCUGUGUUCAGGUUCUCUGAUUCGCAGUCCGAAAGGGCGUGGGUUCGAAUCCCACUCUUGUCA